GGUCAAGCGAAUAAGCGCACACGGUGGAUGCCUUGGCGGUCAGAGGCGAUGAAGGACGUGGCAGCCUGCGAAAAGUAUCGGGGAGCUGGCAACAAGCUUUGAUCCGGUAAUGUCCGAAUGGGGAAACCCACCCGCUUGCGGGUAUCCUGCAGUGAAUACAUAGCUGCUGGAAGCGAACCUGGUGAACUGAAAUAUCUAAGUAACCAGAGGAAAAGAAAUCAACCGAGAUUCCGUAAGUAGCGACGAGCGAACGCGGACUAGCCCUUAAGCUGAUUUGGUUCUAGGAAAACGCUCUGGAAAGAGCGGCCAUAGAAGGUGAUAGCCCUGUAUCUGAAAGGGCCAUUUCAGUGAAGACGAGUAGGGCGGGGCACGUGAAACCCUGUCUGAACAUGGGGGGACCAUCCUCCAAGGCUAAAUACUACUGACCGACCGAUAGUGAACCAGUACCGUGAGGGAAAGGCGAAAAGAACCCCGGAGAGGGGAGUGAAAUAGAACCUGAAACCGUGUGCGUACAAGCAGUAGGAGCUCCGCAAGGAGUGACUGCGUACCUUUUGUAUAAUGGGUCAGCGACUUACUGUUCGUGGCAAGCUUAACCGUAUAGGGGAGGCGAAGGGAAACCGAGUCUGAUAAGGGCGCAUAGUCGCGGGCAGUAGACCCGAAACCGGGUGAUCUAGUCAUGCCCAGGGUGAAGGUGCGGUAACACGCACUGGAGGCCCGAACCCACUCCCGUUGCAAAGGUAGGGGAUGAGGUGUGAUUAGGAGUGAAAAGCUAAUCGAACCCGGAGAUAGCUGGUUCUCCUCGAAAGCUAUUUAGGUAGCGCCUCAUAUGUAUCCUCUCGGGGGUAGAGCACUGUUAUGGCUAGGGGGUCAUCGCGACUUACCAAACCAUUGCAAACUCCGAAUACCGAGACGGACUGUAUGGGAGACACACGGCGGGUGCUAACGUCCGUCGUGAAAAGGGAAACAACCCAGACCCACAGCUAAGGUCCCAAAUUCACUGCUAAGUGGAAAACCAUGUGGAAAGGCACAGACAGCCAGGAGGUUGGCUUAGAAGCAGCCACCCUUUAAAGAAAGCGUAAUAGCUCACUGGUCGAGUCGGUCUGCGGGGAAGAUUUAACGGGGCUAAGCAGUGAACCGAAGCUUGGGGUGCAUACUUUGUAUGCGCGGUAGAGGAGCGUUCCGUAAGCCGUUGAAGGUGGAUUGAGAAGUCUGCUGGAGGUAUCGGAAGUGCGAAUGCUGACAUGAGUAACGAUAAUGCGGGUGAAAAACCCGCACGCCGAAAGCCCAAGGUUUCCUUGCGCAACGUUAAUCGGCGCAGGGUGAGUCGGCCCCUAAGGCGAGGACGAAAGUCGUAGUCGAUGGGAAGCAGGUUAAUAUUCCUGCACCUCGCGUAAGUGCGAUGGAGGGACGGAGAAGGUUAGGUGUACCAGGCGUUGGUUGUCCUGGGGAAAGGCGGUAGGUUUGGAUCUUUGGCAAAUCCGGGAUCCUUUAAGACCGAGCACCGAGACGAGCCUUUAAGGCGAAGUCACUGAUACCACGCUUCCAGGAAAAGCUCCUAAGCUUCAGCUUACGCAGACCGUACCGUAAACCGACACAGGUGGGUAGGAUGAGAAUUCUCAGGCGCUUGAGAGAACUCGGGUGAAGGAACUAGGCAACAUGGCACCGUAACUUCGGGAGAAGGUGCACCCUUUUUGGUGGCUCGUGCGAGCUAUAGCUGAAGAGGGUCGCAGUAACCAGGCCGCUGCGACUGUUUAUCAAAAACACAGCACUCUGCAAACACGAAAGUGGACGUAUAGGGUGUGACGCCUGCCCGGUGCUGGAAGGUUAAUUGAUGGGGUCAGCCGCAAGGCGAAGCUCUUGAUCGAAGCCCCAGUAAACGGCGGCCGUAACUAUAACGGUCCUAAGGUAGCGAAAUUCCUUGUCGGGUAAGUUCCGACCUGCACGAAUGGCGUAACGACAGCGGCGCUGUCUCCACCCGAGACUCAGUGAAAUUGAAAUCGCUGUGAAGAUGCAGCGUUCCCGUGGCAAGACGGAAAGACCCCGUGAACCUUUACUAUAGCUUUACACUGAACGUUGAGUUCGUCUGUGUAGGAUAGGUGGGAGGCUAUGAAACUGUGGCGCUAGCUGCAGCGGAGCCAUCCUUGAAAUACCACCCUGUCGUGCUUGACGUUCUAACCUGGGCCCAUUAUCUGGGUCGGGGACCGUGUAUGGUGGGUAGUUUGACUGGGGCGGUCUCCUCCUAAAGAGUAACGGAGGAGCUCGAAGGUACGCUCAGCGCGGUCGGACAUCGCGCACUGUGUGCAAAGGCAUAAGCGUGCUUGACUGCAAGAUCGACGGAUCAAGCAGGUAGGAAACUAGGACUUAGUGAUCCGGUGGUUCUGUAUGGAAGGGCCAUCGCUCAACGGAUAAAAGGUACUCCGGGGAUAACAGGCUGAUACCGCCCAAGAGUUCAUAUCGACGGCGGUGUUUGGCACCUCGAUGUCGGCUCAUCACAUCCUGGGGCUGUAGUCGGUCCCAAGGGUAUGGCUGUUCGCCAUUUAAAGUGGUACGCGAGCUGGGUUCAGAACGUCGUGAGACAGUUCGGUCCCUAUCUGCCAUGGGCGUUGGAGAUUUGAGAGGGGCUGCUCCUAGUACGAGAGGACCGGAGUGGACGAACCUCUGGUGUUCCGGUUGUCACGCCAGUGGCAUUGCCGGGUAGCUAUGUUCGGAAGCGAUAACCGCUGAAAGCAUCUAAGCGGGAAGCGCGCCUCAAGAUGAGAUCUCCCGGGGCACAAGCCCCCUGAAGGAACCAUGUAGACUACGUGGUUGAUAGGUCAGGUGUGUAAGUACAGCAAUGUAUUGAGCUAACUGAUACUAAUGAUCCGUGCGGCUUGACCAU
rnacentral:rRNA from 1 species